rnacentral:rRNA from 1 species
GCGGAUGAAGGGAGGUUGCUCCUGGAUUCAGCGGCGGACGGCUGAGUAAUGCCUAGGAAUCUGCCUGGUAGUGGCGGAUAACGUCCGGAAACGGGCGCUAAUACCGCAUACGUCCUGAGGGAGAAAGUGGGGGAUCUUCGGACCUCACGCUAUCAGAUGAGCCUAGGUCGGAUUAGCUAGGUUGGUGGGGUAAAGGCCUACCAAGGCGACGAUCCGUAACUGGUCUGAGAGGAUGAUCAGUCACACUGGAACUGAGACACGGUCCAGACUCCUUACGGGAGGCAGCAGUGGGGAAUAUUGGACAAUGGGCGAAAGCCUGAUCCAGCCAUGCCGCGUGUGUGAAGAAGGUCUUCGGAUUGUAAAGCACUUUAAGUUGGGAGGAAGGGCAGUAAGUUAAUACCUUGCUGUUUUGACGUUACCAACAGAAUAAGCACCGGCUAACUUCGUGCCAGCAGCCGCGGUAAUACGAAGGGUGCAAGCGUUAAUCGGAAUUACUGGGCGUAAAGCGCGCGUAGGUGGUUCAGCAAGUUGGAUGUGAAAUCCCCGGGCUCAACCUGGGAACUGCAUCCAAAACUACUGAGCUAGAGUACGGUAGAGGGUGGUGGAAUUUCCUGUGUAGCGGUGAAAUGCGUAGAUAUAGGAAGGAACACCAGUGGCGAAGGCGACCACCUGGACUGAUACUGACACUGAGGUGCGAAAGCGUGGCGAGCAAACAGGAUUAGAUACCCUGGUAGUCCACGCCGUAAACGAUGUCGACUAGCCGUUGGGAUCCUUGAGAUCUUAGUGGCGCAGCUAACGCGAUAAGUCGACCGCCUGGGGAGUACGGCCGCAAGGUUAAAACUCAAAUGAAUUGACGGGGGCCCGCACAAGCGGUGGAGCCAUGUGGUUUAUUUCGAAGCAACGCGAAGAACCUUACCUGGCCUUGACAUGCUGAGAACUUUCCAGAGAUUGAUUGGUGCCUUCGUGAUCUCAGACACAGGUGCUGCAUGGCUGUCGUCAGCUCGUGUCGUGAGAUGUUGUGUUAAGUUCCGUUACGAGCGCAACCCUUGUUCUUAGUUACCAGCACCUCGUGUGUGCACUCUAAGGAGACUGC